GACGAACGCUGGCGGCGUGCCUAAUACAUGCAAGUCGAGCGCAGGAAACCAGAUGACCCCUUCGGGGUGAUUCUGGCGGAAUGAGCGGCGGACGGGUGAGUAACACGUGGGCAACCUGCCUGUAAGACUGGGAUAACUUCGGGAAACCGGAGCUAAUACCGGAUAGUAUUUCCUUUCUCCUGAUUGGAAAUGGAAAGACGGUUUCGGCUGUCACUUACAGAUGGGCCCGCGGUGCAUUAGCUAGUUGGUGGGGUAAUGGCCCACCAAGGAGACGAUGCAUAGCCGGACUGAGAGGGUGAUCGGCCACACUGGGACUGAGACACGGCCCAGACUCCUACGGGAGGCAGCAGUAGGGAAUCUUCCGCAAUGGACGAAAGUCUGACGGAGCAACGCCGCGUGAGCGAUGAAGGCCUUCGGGUCGUAAAGCUCUGUUGUUAGGGAAGAACAAGUACGAGAGUAACUGCUCGUACCUUGACGGUACCUAACCAGAAAGCCCCGGCUAACUACGUGCCAGCAGCCGCGGUAAAAC
rnacentral:rRNA from 1 species